rnacentral:rRNA from 1 species
CAGUAGCCACGGUAAUACGAAGGGUGCAAGCGUUAAUCGGAAUUACUGGGCGUAAAGCGUGCGUAGGCGGUUUGUUAAGUCUGCUGUGAAAUCCCCGGGCUCAACCUGGGAAUGGCAGUGGAUACUGGCAAGCUAGAGUGUGUCAGAGGAUGGUGGAAUUCCCGGUGUAGCAGUGAAAUGCGUAGAGAUCGGGAGGAACAUCAGUGGCGAAGGCGGCCAUCUGGGACAACACUGACGCUGAGGCACGAAAGCGUGGGGAGCAAACAGGAUUAGAUACCCCCGUAGUCCCUGUCUCUUAUAC